rnacentral:rRNA from 1 species
ACCCCAAACCGACACAGGUGGUCAGGUAGAGAAUACCAAGGCGCUUGAGAGAACUCGGGUGAAGGAACUAGGCAAAAUGGUGCCGUAACUUCGGGAGAAGGCACGCUGAUAUGUAGGUGAAGUCCCUCGCGGAUGGAGCUGAAAUCAGUCGAAGAUACCAGCUGGCUGCAACUGUUUAUUAAAAACACAGCACUGUGCAAACACGAAAGUGGACGUAUACGGUGUGACGCCUGCCCGGUGCCGGAAGGUUAAUUGAUGGGG